rnacentral:misc_RNA from 1 species
GAAAUGCGAUAAGUAAUGUGAAUUGCAGAAUUCAGUGAAUCAUCGAAUCUUUGAACGCACAUUGCGCCCGCCAGUAUUCUGGCGGGCAUGCCUGUCCGAGCGUCAUUUCAACCAUCAAGCCCCCGGGCUUGUGUUGGGGACCUGCGGCUGCCCGCAGGCCCUUAAAACCAGUGGCGGGCUCGCUGUCACACCGAGCGUAGUAGCAAUCACCUCGCUCAGGGCGUGCUGCGGGUUCCGGCCGUUAAACAGCCUUACAAAACCCAAGGUUGACCUCGGAUCAGGUAGGAAGACCCGCUGAACUUAAGC